UAGGGAAUCUUCGGCAAUGGGGGGAACCCUGACCGAGCAACGCCGCGUGAGUGAAGAAGGUUUUCGGAUCGUAAAGCUCUGUUGUUAAGGAAGAACGAGUGUGAGAAUGGAAAGUUCAUGCUGUGACGGUACUUAACCAGAAAGGGACGGCUAACUACGUGCCAGCAGCCGCGGUAAUACGUAGGUGGCAAGCGUUGUCCGGAAUUAUUGGGAGUAAAGAGUGCGUAGGCGGCAAAUUAAGUCAGAUGUGAAAACUAAGGGCUCAAACCAUAGAUUGCAUCUGAAACUGAGAUAAUUGAGUCAAGGAGAGGAAAGUGGAAUUCCUAGUGUAGCGGUGGAAUGAGUAGAUAUUAGGAGGAAUACCGGUGGCGAAGGCGACUUUCUGGACUUGAACUGACGCUGAGGCACGAAAGCGUGGGGAGCAAACAGG
rnacentral:rRNA from 1 species